GAUGAACGCUGGCGGCGUGCCUAAUACAUGCAAGUCGAGCGAACGGACGAGAAGCUUGCUUUUCUGAUGUUAGCGGCGGACGGGUGAGUAACACGUGGAUAACCUACCUAUAAGACUGGGAUAACUUCGGGAAACCGGAGCUAAUACCGGAUAAUAUUUUGAACCGCAUGGUUCAAAAGUGAAAGACGGUCUUGCUGUCACUUAUAGAUGGAUCCGCGCUGCAUUAGCUAGUUGGUAAGGUAACGGCUUACCAAGGCAACGAUGCAUAGCCGACCUGAGAGGGUGAUCGGCCACACUGGAGCUGAGACACGGUCCAGACUCCUACGGGAGGCAGCAGUAGGGAAUCUUCCGCAAUGGGCGAAAGCCUGACGGAGCAACGCCGCGUGAGUGAUGAAGGUCUUCGGAUCGUAAAACUCUGUUAUUAGGGAAGAACAUAUGUGUAAGUAACUGUGCACAUCUUGACGGUACCUAAUCAGAAAGCCACGGCUAAC
rnacentral:rRNA from 1 species